rfam:Stegodyphus mimosarum contig45778, whole genome shotgun sequence.
GCUUAAUAUGACUCAACACGGGAAAACUUACCCGGCCCGGACACAGGACGGAUUGACAGAUUAAGAGCUCUUUCUUGGUUCUGUGGGUGGUGGUGCAUGGCCGUUCUUGGUGCACCGAUUUGUCUGGUUAAUUCCGAUAACGAACGAGACUCUAGCCUACUAAAUAGACGCUCCGAUCCUUCGAGUCGGGGCCGAUUUCGCGCCAAAUCUGGCAACCCUACCUUUCUUUGCCGCUUUCUGGCGACAAUAAACCCGCCUUGCGAGGAAGCUAUCUUACCGCAACGGAACAUUUCGCAACAAUAUUUAAUGUGAUUCUUGCAAAUGUUUCAUUGAUAGGCUGUAGAGCA